rnacentral:miRNA from 1 species
AGCUUGUAAACCUGCAGAUCCUUGGGUGCAAUACCAGGGUCUGAUUCCCUUCGUCUUGGGAGGGGUCCAGGAAUCUGCAUUUUAAUACCUACUCAGGGUGAUUCUGAUACAGGUGG